AUGGAUCAUCUCUCUUGCUCCAAGGAAACCAGGAAUAACCUGAGCCUAACUCAUCCCAUUUGCAAAUGAUAGGGCACCUGAGGUCGAUGGAAGAUGGUGAGACUAAUAGAGGAGUUUAGAUCGGAUCCACUGUCGCACACCCUUCACCGCAGACAGAGGACCAAUCCACCUCUUUCUGGUAUACUGAGAAAUGUUUCUGAGCUCUUCCUUUUCCCUGAAUAAGAGUGAAAAUAGCAGGUGAGCUGGGGCCAAAGACUUAAACUGGGCACUGCAGGCUGUGGGCCUCAGUAAUGCGAUGUGCUCAGAGUGCAUGAUGGAUGCCUUCUCCUCUCCAUCUUGUCAGCGGAUCUCGGACUGCGUGUAUAACCUCAUUUGGGGAUAAUAUCAAGAGCCCAUAUCUGAGCCCUUUGACAGAGGGUUCUCCAUAAACCCCAGAUGCUUGGCCACCCUGCCCUGGCUCGGGUUCUCUCUGCUCGUCCCUGACACGGCAGCCUGGACCAGCUCUGAUGAGAAGGAACGUGAAGCCAGCCAUCCUGGAAUUUCUUUGUAUU